GAUGCGCAGGCGCAAUAAAUACACCUUGACUUCCGCGCGCUUCGGAAGAUAUAAAUAAGGAUGCCCUGGGGCUUGCUCGGUCUUUUCGAGAACGAUUGGGGCUCUGCGCGGAAGUCGGGUGCUUCUCAGAGUCCUCUGGACGAUGACUGAGGGGAUAAACCAUGCAGGAAACAGCUCCCUCUAUCUGGAUCUAAGUUGAUUGGAAAGAAAAACCUUUUCUCAGCUGCUGUACUAUUGGAUUAAGCUCUUGCCUACCUUAUUUUGCAGUGAUCACGCAGGAUUCCAAAUAAAUUUUGACUUGAGGAGAGAAGAGGAGCCUCACCAAUCAUUGGCAGUUAACACCCGUUUGGGUCCUUUAUUUGGCAGGGAGGGUUGGUAAAAUGAAUGAUAAAUGCUGUUUUUAUAAGAUAAGCCUGGAGGUUUGGAAACUUGGGCAUAUUUGACCUCUUUAAAAAACUGAAUACUAAAUUUGGGGAACAAGUUGAAUGUUCCAAAGGACGGGCCCAUUGAAAUUUAGGGAAUGUGGACAGCACUGAAUAUAGGCAUGUCUUAACAAUCUGGUCCUUUGAUCCACAAAGCCCAAAGAUUCCAGAAUGCCUAUGAGGAGAAAACUUAAGGAAGCUAAGAUGCUACUUGGCCUUUUCUACUGUUCUCAAGUAAACUGGGUUUUCUAACUAUAUAACUGAAUGGAAAACAGAAGCCUAUCAGAUCCUAAGUGUCUUAUUAAAGAUCCAGGUCUGUUUAUAAUGUAUUUAUGAAUUAAAAUAAAGAUGACUGCGUAUU